rnacentral:rRNA from 1 species
UACGUAGGGAGCAAGCGUUGUCCGGAAUCAUUGGGCGUAAAGAGCGCGUAGGCGGUCCGGUAAGUCGGUUGUGAAAACUGGGGGCUCAACCCUCAGACGCCGACCGAUACUGUCGGGCUAGAGUCCGGAAGAGGCGAGUGGAAUUCCUGGUGUAGCGGUGAAAUGCGCAGAUAUCAGGAGGAACACCGGUGGCGAAGGCGGGUCUCUGGGCCCGAUACUGACGCUGAGGAGCGAAAGCGUGGGGAGCGAACAGG